rnacentral:rRNA from 1 species
ACAGCAGUAGCCGCGGGAAUACAGAGGGUGCGAGCGUUAAUCGGAUUUACUGGGCGUAAAGCGUGCGUAGGCGGCUUUUUAAGUCGGAUGUGAAAUCCCUGAGCUUAACUUAGGAAUUGCAUUCGAUACUGGGAAGCUAGAGUAUGGGAGAGGAUGGUAGAAUUCCAGGUGUAGCGGUAAAAUGCGUAGAGAUCUGGAGGAAUACCGAUGGCGAAGGCAGCCAUCUGGCCUAAUACUGACGCUGAGGUACGAAAGCAUGGGGAGCAAACAGGAUUAGAGACCCCUGUAGUCCCUGUCUCUUAUAA